CGCAGCUCUGGAGGAGUGAGGACGUUAGAAGGAAUGUUUAAUCAUACAGGUCUCUCUUCUCCAUCCUCAAGGGGCCACCAGAAGGCAGGCAGAUUUCCAACCGAAUGAACCAAGCCCUCUCUGGGGACUAGGAGACGACUCUCUAUGCAAGGCAUGGCUCCAUAUUUCUUUCAUAACCUGGUGCAGCCCUGAUCUGUCUUUGAACUCUGCUCCUCCUGCUUCCCAGUGUUUGCUGGACAGCCCCCGCCCUGGGCACCUGUUUUCUUCACACCUGCCAGCAGGUUGGUAAGCUUCUCAGAUGCAGUGAUGGUGGCCAGGAAGGAACGGUGAAUGAAAUAGUCUAGUGAACGGAGGACACAGACGUCUUGGCCACAGUCUCAGCUUCCCUUGGUAAAAAGCUGCCUCCAAAGGCCUUGUGCAUCGGAGCCUAGAGGCCCCGGGAGCCUUCCCCGAGAGCCCAUCCCGGGCCAUCCCCGGAAAGCACCACACAGGGACCAGGUCCGUGGCCCUGUGUGGCACACCCUCUCCUCAGGAUGCAACCCCAGGACUUCCUGCUGUGGGGCUGGCAUCUCACUUUCAUAUGAGGAGGGCCGGCCUGGAGAUGAUACCAACCCAGAGGAAAGCAGGACCAAGAGAUGGAAAGACAGGGGAGCCUGAGGUCGCUCAGUCGGUUAAGUGUCCCGACCGGCCUCAGGUCAUGAUCUCACAGUUCAUGGGUUCCAGCCCCACAUUGGGCUCUGUGCUGACAGCUCAGAGCCUGAAGCCUGCUUUGGAUUCUCUC